rnacentral:rRNA from 1 species
GACGUAGGGCGCGAGCGUUGUCCGGAUUUAUUGGGCGUAAAGAGCUCGUAGGCGGCUUGUCGCGUCGUUCGUGAAAACCCACAGCUCAACUGUGGGCUUGCGGGCGAUACGGGCAGGCUAGAGUUCGGUAGGGGAGACUGGAAUUCCUGGUGUAGCGGUGAAAUGCGCAGAUAUCAGGAGGAACACCGGUGGCGAAGGCGGGUCUCUGGGCCGAUACUGACGCUGGAGGAGCGAAAAGCCGUGG